rnacentral:tmRNA from 1 species
GGGGGUGAUCGGUUUCGACUUGGGACGAUAGUUCCAGGAGAAGCGGGCCGAGAAUCCAAGGUCAACUCGUUAAUGUCCCUUGGAAACCAACAAGUGCCAACUCUAAGCGCACUGACUUCGCUCUCGCUGCCUGAGCAGUGACCGAAGGGUCAGACCGGGUGCGUCUCCGACCCGGACCCUGGCCUCGACUAGGAGACUCACUCGUCAGGAGCGGCCACUGAGCCUGACGAGGACACCUUGAGUGGCUGGGCUUGUCUGCAACUUGUCAGCAUGAGUGCAGGGGCCGAGUAGAACGCUGAGCUGACUGCGCCCGGAGAAGACCUGGUUCGUCGCUCGAGGACGCGGGUUCGAUUCCCGCCACCUCCACGA